rnacentral:rRNA from 1 species
AUUGAACGCUGGCGGCAGGCUUAACACAUGCAAGUCGAGCGGGGGAAGGUAGCUUGCUCCCGGACCUAGCGGCGGACGGGUGAGUAAUGCUUAGGAAUCUGCCUAUUAGUGGGGGACAACAUCUCGAAAGGGAUGCUAAUACCGCAUACGUCCUACGGGAGAAAGCAGGGGAUCUUCGGACCUUGCGCUAAUAGAUGAGCCUAAGUCGGAUUAGCUAGUUGGUGGGGUAAAGGCCUACCAAGGCGACGAUCUGUAGCGGGUCUGAGAGGAUGAUCCGCCACACUGGGACUGAGACACGGCCCAGACUCCUACGGGAGGCAGCAGUGGGGAAUAUUGGACAAUGGGGGGAACCCUGAUCCAGCCAUGCCGCGUGUGUGAAGAAGGCCUUAUGGUUGUAAAGCACUUUAAGCGAGGAGGAGGCUACUUUAGUUAAUACCUAGAGAUAGUGGACGUUACUCGCAGAAUAAGCACCGGCUAACUCUGUG